CGUCGUAUCAGCUUGUUGGUGAGGUAACGGCUCACCAAGGCUUCGACGCGUAGCGGGACUGAGAGGUUGGCCCGCCACAUCGGGACUGAGACACUGCCCGGACCUCCACGGAGGGCUGCAGUAACGAAUAUUGCGCAAUGGACGAAAGUCUGACGCAGCGACGCCGCGUGCAGGAUGAAGCCCCUCGGGGUGUAAACUGCUGUUAGGGUGAAGAAAUUUUGAUCGAUCCCAGAGGAAGUCACGGCUAACUUCGUGCCAGCAGCCGCGGUAAUACGAAGGUGGCUAGCGUUGUUCGGAAUCACUGGGCUUAAAGCGCACGCAGGCGGAAAGUUAAGUGUUUUGUGAAAUCCCUCGGCUUAACCGAGGAACUGCUUGACAUACUGGCUUUCUUGAGGCAGGCAGGGGCGCGUGGAACUCUAGGUGGAGCGGUGAAAUGCGUAGAUAUCUAGAGGAACGCCAGUGGUGAAGACGGCGCGCUGGACCUGUCCUGACGCUGAGGUGCGAAAGCGUGGGGAGCCAAGAGGAUUAGAUACCCUUGUUGUCCACGCUGUUAACGAUGUCUACUAGUUCGCGGUAGUUCUGACACUUUCGCGGCCGAAGCAAAAGUGUUAAGUAGACCGCCUGGGGAGUACGUUCGCAAGGCUAAAACUCAAAGGAAUUGACGGGGGCUCACACAAGCGGUGGAGCAUGUGGCUUAAUUCGAAGCAACGCGAAGAACCUUAUCCUGGGUUUGACAUGCUUGGAUGCCCAUCCUGAAAGGGAGUAGGCUGCCUUCGGGUGAAACUUGCACAGGUGCUGCAUGGCUGUCGUCAGCUCGUGUCGUGAGAUGUUGGGUUAAGUCCCUUAACGAGCGAAACCCUUAUCGUUAGUUACCAGCGCGUUAUGGCGGGAACUCUAACGAGACUGCCGGUGUCAAACCGGAGGAAGGUGGGGAUGACGUCAAGUCCUCAUGGCCUUUAUGCCCAGGGCUGCACACGUGCUACAAUGGCGACUACAGAGCGAAGCGAUACCGUGAGG
rnacentral:rRNA from 1 species